rnacentral:rRNA from 1 species
UUAAAUUGAAGAGUUUGAUCAUGGCUCAGAUUGAACGCUGGCGGCAGGCCUAACACAUGCAAGUCGAGCGGUAGCACAGAGAGCUUGCUCUCGGGUGACGAGCGGCGGACGGGUGAGUAA